rnacentral:rRNA from 1 species
UACGAAGGGGGGCUAGCGUUGCUCGGAAUCACUGGGCGUAAAGCGCACGUAGGCGGAUUGCUAAGUCAGGGGUGAAAUCCUGGAGCUCAACUCCAGAACUGCCUUUGAUACUGGCGAUCUCGAGUCCGGGAGAGGUGAGUGGAACUGCGAGUGUAGAGGUGAAAUUCGUAGAUAUUCGCAAGAACACCAGUGGCGAAGGCGGCUCACUGGCCCGGUACUGACGCUGAGGUGCGAAAGCGUGGGGAGCGAACAGG